GAGGGUAUAGCUCAGUGGUUGAGCAUGAGCUUGGCAUGCACGAAGUCCUGGGUUCAAUCCCCAGUACACUGC
rnacentral:tRNA from 1 species